ensembl:rRNA 5S_rRNA 5S ribosomal RNA
GUCUACGGCCAUACCACCCUGAACGCGCCCGAUCUCGUCUGAUCUCGGAAGCUAAGCAGGGUCAGGCCUGGUUAGUACUUGGAUGGGAGAAAAAUUACCAAGCAUGUGAAGAAACAGGAAAUGAAUCCA